GGGGAUUUAGCUCAGUGGUAGAGCCCUUGCCUUGGAAGCACAAGGCCCUGGGUUCGGUCCCCAGCUUCA
rfam:Rattus norvegicus chromosome 18, whole genome shotgun sequence.